rnacentral:rRNA from 1 species
AUUGAACGCUGGCGGCAGGCUUAACACAUGCAAGUCGAGCGGGGUGAUGGUGCUUGCACUAUCACUUAGCGGCGGACGGGUGAGUAAUGCUUAGGAAUCUGCCUAUUAGUGGGGGACAACAUCUCGAAAGGGAUGCUAAUACCGCAUACGUCCUACGGGAGAAAGCAGGGGAUCACUUGUGACCUUGCGCUAAUAGAUGAGCCUAAGUCGGAUUAGCGAGUUGGUGGGGUAAAGGCCUACCAAGGCGACGAUCUGUAGCGGGUCUGAGAGGAUGAUCCGCCACACUGGGACUGAGACACGGCCCAGACUCCUACGGGAGGCAGCAGUGGGGAAUAUUGGACAAUGGGGGGAACCCUGACCCAGCCAUGCCGCGUGUGUGAAGAAGGCCUUAUGGUUGUAAAGCACUUUAAGCGAGGAGGAGGCUCUUUUGGUUAAUACCCAAGAUGAGUGGACGUUACUCGCAGAAUAAGCACCGGCUAACUCUGUGCCAGCCGCCGCCGUAA